UCGGAGGUUUUGAUGAUUCCUCCAACUAGGGUGAUAUUUGUUGGUGGAGAGGUCAGGAUUGUUGUACUUGUUUUGAUUGUAAAGGGCUGCUGCUGCAUAUGCUUGAGGUAGCUCAGUUAUUGUCACGUCUUGCAGAAUAGGACAUGUGUCAGUUGGAUGUUCAAGAGAAGUACAGAUGCCGCACAAUUUAGUUGUUUGAGGUUUAUUAACUACCAAUUGUUUCACCAAAGAAGUAAGUUCAUCAAUUCUUGUUUCAAAUUUGGUUUCUAGAGCCUUGAUGGAAGAAGAGGAGGCUUGGAUUUCAUUGACACCCUUUUGGUUCACAACAUUGUUUCUAAUUAAGAAUUUUGGUUCACAACAUUGUUUCUAAUUAAGAAUUGUUGAGAAUUAAGUGACAUAUUCUCAAUCAGAGUUUUGGCAGCAACUGGAGACUUAUCAACAAGUGAUCCACCACUAGCAGCAUCCAAGAUGUUCCUAUCCAUUGGUUGCAAGCCCUCAUAGAAAUACUGGAUAAGAAGUUGUUCAGUGAUUUGGUAGAAGUUUAUUUGUGGAAUUUCAAGAGCAUGACUUGGAGCUCCCUGGACAGCAUUGAGUGAAGAAGUUGAUAGGAACUAUAAAAAA
rnacentral:lncRNA from 1 species